UGCUGCCAGAAAGUAUGCAGAAUGGAAAGCUGUACACUCUACAGUAGCUGUUGGAUCUGUAUGCUGCUGAUCUGCUUACUGGGAUCUCACCCUACAGUCUGAAGCAUUAAGCCACCUCCU